rnacentral:rRNA from 1 species
GAUUGGGGGGUGCUUACACAUGCAAGUCGAACGGUGAAGCAGAGCUUGCUCUGUGGAUCAGUGGCGAACGGGUGAGUAACACGUGAGCAAUCUGCCCCUGACUCUGGGAUAAGCGCUGGAAACGGCGUCUAAUACCGGAUACGAGCUGCGACCGCAUGGUCAGUAGCUGGAAAGAAUUUCGGUCAGGGAUGAGCUCGCGGCCUAUCAGCUUGUUGGUGAGGUAAUGGCUCACCAAGGCGUCGACGGGUAGCCGGCCUGAGAGGGUGACCGGCCACACUGGGACUGAGACACGGCCCAGACUCCUACGGGAGGCAGCAGUGGGGAAUAUUGCACAAUGGGCGCAAGCCUGAUGCAGCAACGCCGCGUGAGGGAUGACGGCCUUCGGGUUGUAAACCUCUUUUAGCAGGGAAGAAGCGAAAGUGACGGUACCUGCAGAAAAAGCGCCGGCUAACUACGUGCCAGCAGCCGCGGUAAUACGUAGGGCGCAAGCGUUAUCCGGAAUUAUUGGGCGUAAAGAGCUCGUAGGCGGUCUGUCGCGUCUGCUGUGAAAACCCGAGGCUCAACCUCGGGCCUGCAGUGGGUACGGGCAGACUAGAGUGCGGUAGGGGAGAUUGGAAUUCCUGGUGUAGCGGUGGAAUGCGCAGAUAUCAGGAGGAACACCGAUGGCGAAGGCAGAUCUCUGGGCCGUAACUGACGCUGAGGAGCGAAAGGGUGGGGAGCAAACAGGCUUAGAUACCCUGGUAGUCCACCCCGUAAACGUUGGGAACUAGUUGUGGGGUCCAUUCCACGGAUUCCGUGACGCAGCUAACGCAUUAAGUUCCCCGCCUGGGGGAGUACGGCCGCAAGGCUAAAACUCAAAGGAAUUGACGGGGACCCGCACAAGCGGCGGAGCAUGCGGAUUAAUUCGAUGCAACGCGAAGAACCUUACCAAGGCUUGACAUAUAGAGGAA